CUUCUUUUUGACACCCAUAAUCUAGAGGGGUUUUGGAGCCAGCUUUUGGACACAAUUCCCAGAAAUAAGGAGUAACAAAGAGUGAGCAAAUGUUCUCUUGUACAGCCACGACAAUAAUCAGGUGGUGAAAGGCCUUGUAGGAGGAGAACAUGUUCAGAGGUAAAAAUGUGUGUGGGGGGCAGGGGUGCUUGAUGAGGAACCCAACGUGGUUGUGGAGUCUCCCCUCUUCCAGUUAUUGGGCCGUUCUCAUCCUCCACCCACAGAGUAAAAAAAAUACUCAGUAAAAGCAAAGGGGUAUAGAGAGAAACACACUGACUGACACUACUGGCCAAGUAAGAACAAAAUCCAAGUCAAUGCUGAAGUACUCCUGUCCAUGUUUUUCUAUCCUCCUGCGUGGAAAGUGGCGCCGCAUGACGUCACAUAUAAACAGGAAAUAACGAUAGUGAGCGGUGCUGUGGAAAUCACGACCUGUCGGAUUUAAAACAUUAAGACACAAAUACAAUGUAAAGCUAUCAGUAACAGAGUUAAGACGGACGAAGUCUGAGUUUAGUCCCAGUAGGACCAAACGAUGUGUCGUUUUCCCAGCUCCAGGAAAUCAGCAGGCUCAAUGGUCCAGAAUGGCACAGAUCAGGUCCUGCAGCACGUCAAACCUGUGAGCUCAUCACGCUGCUACACUGCAGGGAAAGAUGAGUACUGUUCAUCGAUCAUGAAAUUCCAAGUUUGUAAAAGAAAGGUCCGCACAUGCCUUCCAAGGGUCAUGAGGGCUGUCCCAGCUGUCUUUGGGGAGGAGGCAGGGUGCACCGUGCACAUAGAGACAGACAACUAUUCACACUCACAUUCACACCUAUGGGCAAUUUAGAAUCACCAGUUAACGUAACCCCACUAAUUGCAUGUCUCUUUAUUCAUUUAUUUGGGACUUAAAUCAUUUUAGGCAGUGAGAUAAGGUUCAAUGAACUGUGUUUUUAGAAUAGUUUCAUUUAAUUAAUGACAGGCAUUGUUUUUU
ensembl:lncRNA